rnacentral:ncRNA from 1 species
GGCAAGAUGUGUAUUGUAGGCCUACGGAAUUUCAUUCCUUGGCUACAUACUUAACCUUAUUCGCACUUUGUACUCAACGGAUAUCUUGCUCUGCGAGGC